CCUACGGGCCGCAGCAGUGGGGAAUAUUGGACAAUGGGCGAAAGCCUGAUCCAGCAAUGCCGCGUGUGUGAAGAAGGUCUUCGGAUUGUAAAGCACUUUCGACGGGGACGAUGAUGACGGUACCCGUAGAAGAAGCCCCGGCUAACUUCGUGCCAGCAGCCGCGGUUAUACGAAGGGGGCUAGCGUUGCUCGGAAUGACUGGGCGUAAAGGGCACGUAGGCGGUUUAUGCAGUCAGAUGUGAAAUCCCCGGGCUUAACCUGGGAACUGCAUUUGAGACGCAUAGACUAGAGGUCGAGAGAGUGUUGUGGAAUUCCCAGUGUAGAGGUGAAAUUCGUAGAUAUUGGGAAGAACACCGGUGGCGAAGGCUGCAACCUGGCUCGAUACUGACGCUGAGGCGCGAAAGCGUGGGGAGCAAACAGGAUUAGAUACCCCAGUAGUC
rnacentral:rRNA from 1 species